rnacentral:rRNA from 1 species
CCUACGGGAGGCAGCAGUGGGGAAUAUUGCACAAUGGGGGAAACCCUGAUGCAGCGACGCCGCGUGAAGGAAGAAGUAUUUCGGUAUGUAAACUUCUAUCAGCAGGGAAGAAAAUGUCGGUUCCUGACUAAGAAGCCCCGGCUAACUACGUGCCAGCAGCCGCGGGAUUACGUCGGGGACAAGCGUUCUCCUGAUUUACUGGGUGUAAAGGGAGCGUAGGCGGUUUAGCAAGUCAGAAGUGAAAGAUCGGGGGUCAACUCCGGUACUGCUUUUGAAACUGUUGCACUAGAUUGCAGGAGAGGGAAGUGGAAUUCCUAGGGUAGCGGUGAAAUGCGUAGAUAUUAGGAGGAACACCAGUGGCGAAGGCGGCUUACUGGACUGUAAAUGACGCUGAGGCUCGAAAGCGUGGGGAGCAAACAGGAUUAGAUACCCUAGUAGUC